GUGCCAGCCGCCGCGGUAAAACGUAGGAGGCAAGCGUUAUCCGGAUUCACUGGGCGUAAAGCGUGCGUAGGCGGUUGGGUAAGUCGGAUGUGAAAGCCCCUGGCUCAACUGGGGGAGGCCAUUCGAUACUGCUCGGCUUGAGGGUGAUAGAGGAGAGCGGAAUUCCCGGUGUAGCGGUGGAAUGCGUAGAGAUCGGGAGGAACACCAGCGGCGAAAGCGGCUCUCUGGCUCACCCCUGACGCUGAGAGCACGACAGCGUGGGGAGCAAACGGGAUUAGAUACCCUAGUAGUCC
rnacentral:rRNA from 1 species